CAGGCAAUAGGCAUAGAAACUGUCCGCUGCAGGUAAACAAGAGAACCGCAGACAAUGGACACACUUCUGGUUAUAAUACAGCGCGACUUUAUAUGUUUUCAUGUUGCCUUUACAUUAUGUCAAUUCAUCAGUUGGUUACAGUAACAGUUUAUGUUAUUCAGUCCAGGUAUGUUACUAUGUUAUGCUCAGCUGCUGUUAUAGUACAUGCUGUAUAUUGUAACUUUGAAUCUCCCACUCCCCACAGGAUAUAAUAUUCUCUGUUACCAUUUGUAUAGCAAGGCAGAGAGCAUUUACAGGUAUAUUGAUCCUUUAUCAACAAACGACAUUAUAUUAGUCUCAGACGUAUUGCUGAACUGGCUGUAAUACCUUAUCUGUUGAUCAUGUUGCUGAUGUCACUAUUAGAAGGAUAACAUGGUGACUAUUGAGUGUGAGGAACUGUUUUCAGGAAGUGUUUUCAGGAAGUGGGUUGGUACAUUAUCUUCAUGUCGUGAACAUCGUGUUCUUAAUGCAGAUAAACUAAUUAGUUGGUUUUGUGUUUGGAGGAUGCAGGGACACGUUUAGCAUUGUUCUGUGGUUUAAAAAUAAUUAUUUUCACAUACACCGGAUUAGGUGCAGUGAAAUGUGUUGUUUUACAGGGUCAGUCAUAGUAGUAUGAUAGGUGUUGUUUUACAGGGUCAAUCAUAGUAGUAUGAUAGGUGUUGUUUUACAGGGUCAAUCAUAGUAGUAUGAUAGGUGUUGUUUUACAGGGUCAGUCAUAGUAGUAUGAUAGGUGUUGUUUUACAGGGUCAGCCAUAGUACAGCACCCCUGAUGCAAAUUAGGGUUAAGUGCCUUGCUCAAGGGCACAGCGACAGAUUUUGCACCUUGUUGGCUCGGGUAUUUGAACCAGCAACCUCUUGGUUACUGUACCAACGCUCUAACCGCUAAGCUACAUGCCAUGUUGCAUAGUAUUACUAAACCGUUAUUUUGACAGGGAAGUCAUGCUGAGACUAGGGCCUCUUUUUCAGAUGAGCCCUGCAUAAAUACAUCAAACAUAUAUACAACAUACAAAAUAUAUUAAGAAAAUGUAUCAACAUAGAGGUCUCUGAUCAUGACUCUGAACUGACCAAUGGGGGACCAGAACUACUAAUUUCAGAGAGCUCUGAGAGAGUUGUUCCACAUAAAGGGCCAAGAAAAAAUAAAAAAUAAACAUCUUUACCCAACUCUGUGGAGACCGAAGGGGCCUCCAGUGUUAUCCAAGCCUGUAACCGGGUUUGGUCAUUUGUAAGUCAAAAAUGUAAUUAAUGACGAUAGAUACAUAGGUUUCUGCAUGAGUGCUUU
ensembl:lncRNA